rnacentral:rRNA from 1 species
AACGCGAAGAACCUUACCUACCCUUGACAUACAGUGAAUUCUGCAGAGAUGUAGGAGUGCCUUCGGGAACACUGAUACAGGUGCUGCAUGGCUGUCGUCAGCUCGUGUCGUGAGAUGUUGGGUUAAGUCCCGUAACGAGCGCAACCCUUAUUCUUAGUUACCAGCGCGUAGAGGCGGGGACUCUAAGGAGACUGCCGGUGACAAGCCGGAGGAAGGCGGGGACGACGUCAAGUCAUCAUGGCCCUUACGGGUAGGGCUACACACGUGCUACAAUGGCCGAUACAGAGGGAGGCGAAGGGGUGACCUGGAGCGAAUCCUAAAAAGUUGGUCGUAGUCCGGAUUGAAGUCUGCAACUCGACUUCAUGAAGUCGGAAUCGCUAGUAAUCGCGAAUCAGCAUGUCGCGGUGAAUACGUUCCCGGGCCUUGUACACACCGCGUGUCU